rnacentral:rRNA from 1 species
GACGUUGCCUGAAAAGUUUUGCAUGGAAUAAUGGAAUAGGACUUCGGUUCUAUUUCGUUGGUUUUCGGAUCCGAAGUAAUGAUCAAAAGAGACAGGCGGGGACGUUUGUAUGGCUGCGAUAGAGGUGAAAUUCAUUGACCGUAGCCAGACAAACUAAAGCGAAAGCAUUCGUCAAGCAUGUUUUCAUUGGCCAUGAGCGAAAGUCAGAGGCUCGAAGACGAUCAGAUACCGUCCUAGUUCUGACCAUAAACGAUGCCAACUGACGAUCCGUGGUGGUAGUUCUCAAACCUUCCCCACGGGCAGUCCCCGGGAAACCUUUAAGUCUAUGGGUUCCGGGGGAAGUAUGGUUGCAAAGCUGAAACUUAAAGGAAUUGACGGAAGGGCACCACCAGGAGUGGAGCCUGCGGCUUAAUUUGACUCAACACGGGAAAACUCACCCGGGCCGGACACUAUGAGGAUUGACAGAUUGAUAGC